rnacentral:rRNA from 1 species
GAUGAACGCUCGCUACAGGCUUAACACAUGCAAGUCGCGGGGCAGCAUGGGGGUUGCUUGCAAUCCCCGAUGGCGACCGGCGCACGGGUGAGUAACGCGUAUCCAACCUGCCCUUCACCACGGGAUAACCCGGCGAAAGUCGGACUAAUACCGUAUGUUGUCCACUGACGGCAUCCGAUUUGGACGAAAGGCUUGGCGGUGAGGGAUGGGGAUGCGUCCGAUUAGCCAGACGGCGGGGUAACGGCCCACCGUGGCUACGAUCGGUAGGGGUUCUGAGAGGAAGGUCCCCCACACUGGAACUGAGACACGGUCCAGACUCCUACGGGAGGCAGCAGUGAGGAAUAUUGGUCAAUGGGCGUAAGCCUGAACCAGCCAAGUAGCGUGCAGGAUGACGGCCCUAUGGGUUGUAAACUGCUUUUAUGCGGGGAUAAAGUGGCCCACGUGUGGGCUUUUGCAGGUACCGCAUGAAUAAGGACCGGCUAAUUCCGUG